rnacentral:rRNA from 1 species
UGUAGUCAUAUGCUUGUCUCAAAGAUUAAGCCAUGCAUGUCUAAGUUCAGGCCUUUUACGAGGCAAAACCGCGAAUGGCUCAAUACAUCAGUUGUGGUUCGUUGGACCGUGCUUUUUUACUUGGAUAACUGUGGGAAUUCUAGAGCUAAUACAUGCAUUCAGGCUUCGACUCCCGGCAACGGGAUGGAGGAGCGCUUUUAUUAGAUCGAAACCAACCUGGGCGUGUGCUCGUCAUGCGUUCCGGUCUCCGGAUUCGUUCCGGGGGCUUGGUGACUCUGAAUAACUACAGGCCGAUCGUACGGACUCGUUCCGACGACGUAUCCUUCAAGUGUCUGCCUCAUCAACUGUCGACGGUAGGUUACGUGCCUACCGUGGUUAUGACGGGUAACGGGGAAUCAGGGUUUGAUUCCGGAGAAAAGGCCUGAGAGACGGCCAUUACUUCUAAGGAAGGCAGCAGGCGCGUAAAUUACCCAAUCCUAAUACGGGGAGGUAGUGACAAGAAAUAUUGAUAUUGGACCCAAAGGGUACAAUGAUUGAAAUGAGAACAAUACAAAAAACUUAACGACUAACAAUUGGAGGGCAAGUCUGGUGCCAGCAGCCGCGGUAAUUCCAGCUCCAAGAGUGUAUAUUAAAGUUGUUGCAGUUAAAAAGCUCGUAGUUGAACCUUGGGCCUGGCUGGCCGGUCCGCCUCACCGCGUGUACUGGUCCGGCCGGGCCUUUCCUUCUGGGGAACCUCAUGCCCUUCACUGGGCGUGUUGGGGAACCAGGACUUUUACUUUGAAAAAGUUAGAGUGUUCAAAGCAGGCCUUUGCUCGAAUACAUUAGCAUGGAAUAAUAGAAUAGGACGUGUGGUUCUAUUUUGUUGGUUUCUAGGACCGCCGUAAUGAUUAAUAGGGAUAGUCGGGGGCAUCAGUAUUCAAUCGUCAGAGGUGAAAUUCUUGGAUUGAUUGAAGACUAACUACUGCGAAAGCAUUUGCCAAGGAUGUUUUCAUUAAUCAGUGAACGAAAGUUAGGGGAUCGAAGACGAUCAGAUACCGUCGUAGUCUUAACCAUAAACUAUGCCGACUAGGGAUCGGACGGUGUUAGUAUUUUGACCCGUUCGGCACCUUACGAGAAAUCAAAGUUUUUGGGUUCUGGGGGGAGUAUGGUCGCAAGGCUGAAACUUAAAGGAAUUGACGGAAG